rnacentral:lncRNA from 1 species
CUCCAAAGCAGCAAAGCUGCGUACAAACAAGAACAAAUUCUCAACCAGCCACAACAUCGGCACCAACCCAUACCCGACCCAAACUCCGCGAAUCCAUGAAACUUCAACCCGAUAAUAUUACAAAACCCACCUCCUUUCCCUUCCUCGCUUCGAUUGUACUCCUCACGUGAUUGGCAUGUGAUUUUCGUACCAUGGGAAGUCCAGGAUUCCUCUAGAAAAUAUGUAGGUGUCCGUUCCAACGGCUAGAUGUUGAGAAUUUCGGGUUGAAUGGUAAAAAAAAGUACACACUUUCCCAAUUCUCAUUGGUGGGUGAGAGAAAUUUCAUUCCUUAACCUCUAUUGGUUGGCCUAUUUUGGAUUUCAUGAAGAAAAUCCAAAAUCUGCACAUUGGUGGAUGAGGGAUCUAAGCUGUAGAAGAAAUUUGAAUUUCAAAUUCCAAAUUUUUCUUCCUAAAAUACCCCAAUACUAUCUUCUAUAUAAGAGGCGAUGGGUCACUGUUUAGAGGGGUUGAAGAUUCUAGAGUUGAAAAUUAGGGUUGGGAAAAUUUUUGGGAAAAAGGGGAAAAUUCGGGUAGCUAAGAGUACUUUCUCAUGGUAAAAAUUUACUUUCUCAUGGUAAAAAUUUCUCUUUUCUUUCUUCUUUUAAAAGCGAGUUUGAAAUUUUGGGUCUGAAAAGAGGGGAAAAAUUCUCAAAAAGGCAGAAACACAAGAAAGGAAAUUUUGGUUCAGAAAAACCGAGAGAGAAGGAAGAAAGGAAAAGAAAGAAAUUUUUGGAGAAAAAUUAAGUCUUUAGUAGAAAUCCUGUUCUUGUUUUGAAAGUUCGUCAGCUAAAUUAGAGUCUCGAGUUGACGGUAAAGAAGUUUCUUAGGGGUCGUGAUCUCCGUACCACAUCGUUGUCUCAUUUUGCUGCACUUAAAAAGGUAAAUACACUCUAUGUUCCCUUUAAUUUGACCACUGUUCUUCUUCAUCUCUUUUUCUUCGUAACUGAUGUAGUCGUAACUGUUCUUCUUCAUCUUUUUUUCUUCGUAGCUAAUGUAGUUGUAGUAGUAAUCUUGUUCUGCUAGGAGUAGCUGAUGUAGUCGUAUUCGUGAUUUUGUAUGCUAGCUUUGGCUGCUGAUGUAGGAAAUGUUUGUCAUGUGAUUACGUUUGAUGUUAAACUCCUAGUUUAGCCGCUAAAAUUUUUAGUUUUCAGUCUUAUUUGCACGUCUUAAUUUCAUAAUUUGUUAUCUGAUUUCGACAUUGCUAAUUAGCUUCCAAUUUGCUGCUUUGUAUUGUAUAUUGCUAAUGAGUUGACUUACUGAUUUCCAUCGAGGUUCCUAUUUCAAUUUCUCGCUUCACUAGCUUGCUAAAUGUUGUUUUGUUUGAAUUAUUGUCUUUCUAUUUAGUUAGUAAUAUCACUAGCAGGACUACUUUGCGAGUUCCUUUGGCUUCUCAAAUUCCAAAGAGAAUGACCAAAAUAUUUCCAAUAAUGAAAUGUACUACAAAAUUCUAGGAUCCUUCGACGGCCAUUUCGUUUGAAUGAGAAGGAGGACCAUACUGAUAUGUUGACUCGUUCAUUAUUACUGUUUGACAGUCUUAGAUCAUUAUUUUCUGUUUAAACUGGCAGCACCACCAGCUGGCCUGCCUUGAGAGUUCCUUUGGCUUUUUCAAUGCCAAAGGGAAUAAUGAGAUAUGUCCAAAAGCGCACCCAAAAUCUUAUAAUUCUCCGAUGACCAUUUUGACUGUUAAAAAACUCAUUUUUUGAGUUUGUCGGAAAGAGGAGAAGGAUAAAAUAAUACGCCCUGCCAGCUCCUUUCUUUAAAAAAGGAAAUAUCCUGGUCGGGUUCCCUCUGUUGUGGAAUUGCAAAGUUUGAGUCUUUCAUUUCCCUUUUGAUUUCGAUUUAAGACGGUAUUUUGUUUGAUUGAUCCCCGAGGAAAUGCAAUGGCUUUAUUGUAAAAGAGAAUGGAUGAGGUCUCUUUGAUGUUGAAAAUCAUUACAUGGUGUGCAUUCUCUUUGAGCUGGGUUUAUGGUUCUCUCUCUAGUUAUAAUUUUCAAGGCCUAAAACUCUUUAGAGUUUUGUAAGGCCGUUUCCAGGAAAUGCUCUUAGCAAUUAUGUAGAGACAAGGCUUUUGUGGGAGGAAAUUCUUUAGAUUUCUCUCGAAAAGAAAUUUGGAAGACGAAACGGGGUCUCAUCAUACCCGAGUUUCAUCUUCAUAGUUUCUCUGCUAAAACUCUAGGUAGGCAGGUUUUGCUUGAUUCAUUUCAAACGUUCUCUCCCUUUUUUGUUUUCGUUUCAUCAUGUCUAUCUACGCUUUAUGGUAUUAUAUUGGUUAUUUUGUUUUGUUCAUUGGAAGAAUGGUGGUGAAAUUAUUCUUGAAGCCAUAGUUACUAAGACUCUUUUGAUUAUUCAGAGAUCUGUUGCUUCUUCGCUCACUGUAGUAUAAAUAUACUAUUAACUUACAAACUUAUCUUCUUGAAAAAUUAUGAUUUUUUUUAGUUGUCUGAACAGUUCUUGGGUCAAGUUUCAUUAAUUCUUGCUUAAGUUGACGUUGUAUGUUAGUGUUUGUUUUUCCAAGCUGCUAAAUUUAGGUAAGAUAUGUUAAUAAGUUCUGUCCUUUUAAAGAAAUGGUACAGUGUGAAGCUCUUUUUUAUUUCCUCGAAAAAAGGGGUUCUUUUCUUACUCGAAGUUAUGCAUGAGUCGCUUAUGAGGUUUAUUUUAACUCCCAACUCUAGUGUACGUCUCAUUGUUUACUUGUUCUUGCUUACGGAAAUCCUCACCAAUUUAGUGUUAAAACUUUUUUUUAUUAGUUUAUAUGUUUAUUUAUGUACUGAUGACAACCAUAGUUGCAUGACUUUACCCUAUUGCGCAUGUCCUUUUUCCUUGACUUUUCUACAUCUUGACCUACUGUUUGGUAUGUUAUUUUGGAUUACAAUAGUUCUCUUUUUAUCUAUGAAUUUGUUAUGUUAUUUAUCUAUAUGGUGUUCUGCACUUUGGAUGCAUAUUAAUCUCCUUAUUUCGUUCCUUCCAUGUGAAUCCGUUUUUGAGUCCCACAUGGACUCUCUCCCUUUUCCAUAUUCAUCAUGGGUUAUUGAUGUCCACUAUCUCUAUUGAGUCAACUCCGAGAUCAAGUCCAAAAGCCGAUUAUGAGGCAUACGGAUGUAAGGAGACGAAAGGAGAAGAAUGAGUUGAAGUCCAUCUUUGAAGCGGCCAAGGGACUUGAAAGUUUUGUUUUUUCAUUUAUUUGCUCAUUUAUUUAUUUAUUUAUUUUUAUUGUUGUCUUUGUUCAUUUAUUCAUUUAUUUAUUUCACUUAUUCAUUCAUUUGGGUCUCGAAGCCAAAGUUGUAAAUUUAAUACAGGUGGAGCGGAUUUUAGGUCAAUGGGCCUGAAAGGAUAGUUUAGGACAGGUUAUGGGCCGAAAGCCUAAUUAGAUUGGGACAGGGUUUAUCGAUUUGGGCCCAAGGGUCUAAACUCUUUACUUUAUCAUCCCUUUCCCCUUUUAUAUGUUUAUUUGCUUAUUCAUUUUGUUUAGACUUAGUUAAAAUCCCUACUAAAUUGCCUAAAUUCAUUUUACACAAGUCAUUUUCCAAAAGCAACCACUUUUCAACAAAUUAAUGUUUUUACAAGUUAAUCUAAAGAUGUUUUCAAACAGUUCGGACAACCACAAGUCUCGGUCCAUAGUUUAAGACUCCGUUCCCUAUAGCCUAGUCUAUAUCCACAGCUGACGUGACUCCGUAUCGGCGCCUUUCCCUUUGUAUAGUAUACGGUUAAGUGACUUCCUAACCUCAACUUAUAACGGACGUUUUAGGUGUCUAACAUCUUCCUAAAAUAUUAAUAGGAACCGCUUAUUCAGAAUCUCUAACUUAAACGAUUUUCUUAGUUUGAAUUGUUUGAAGUAAUUCUCUAAAGGUUUCUUAAUUUCUUUUCAAAAUUAAGUGGCGACUCUUUUAAAAAUAGUCAAAAUUUCUCCGCAAAACAGAAAUGGCGACUCUGCUGGGGACUUUGAAAUUAGGUUCUAACCAAAUGUUUGAUUUUAUCUUUUGAUUAACUAUUUAUGUGUUUAUGUGUUUCAAUUCUGUAAAGUUUAAUUAUCGCAUCUCAUGGCACAUUCCUGUAUUAUUUAAACUAUUUUAGGGUUUCGUUGAUAUCCCGACCCCUGUUGUUCAAUUCCAAAAUAUGUUGGAAAUACGAACGGUUUAUUAGCACGUGAGUCGUCUGGUGGGUGUUCGUAUUUUCAAACACAAGUUGUCGGCUUGAGAACCAGUGUUCAAACACACUCUAGACCACCUAGGAUAGAAUGAAACCAAAACCCUAUUUUAGGAAUGAUCCUAGGACGACCCAAUACCCGAGCAGGGUAUUGGGUCCAUUAGAAAAGCUGCCCUCCAUCUAUUGACCCUGAGUCAAUUACAGACGAAUCAUAUUUAUGUGUUGAAAAAAAUAUAUGCUUGUCUAAUCAAUCCAUUACCCUCUGGGGAUUGGGGAAGGCUUAUCUUUGCCUGUUUUCGUGUAGGAUAUGACUCAACUGCAUUCCCUCAAAAAGUUCAAGAUAGUUAUUAAACCCAGCAAUUUUUUGAAACUAUGGUGGGAUCACAUGAGCGCAGAAGAGAGAAAGACUGUUAGAACACACAUCGGGUAUCUGCCUUCUUUGACCGAGAUGGACGCUUGGCCUAUAAUGAUCCAUGUACUAACAACUUUUUGGGAUAAUCAGAAUAUGAUAUUUCACUUCGGGGAUGUUGAAUUGACUCCAACCAUUGAAGAGGUAUUGAUUUGUUACGAGAGUACUGAAAUGUGUUUUAAGAGAAGGGAGAAACCUGAUAAGAAUAUUUUAUUCCUAGUUGUAUGGUAUUGUCAAAAGAUCAAGGAGGUAUUUUUAACUGAUGAAGACACCUGGAUAAGAGAAUGUGAUGGAGCAAAUAUCACUUUUCGUGAGUUGUAUCGUUGGUUCGGAAGAUUCAAUGCUUUUUACAAAUUUGGACAUAAAUUUGAGUCAAAAGCAAAAUGGAAGGAGACGAGAGCCUUUGCAUUCGCGGUAGGCCUACUUGGAACCAUGGUGUUCCUAUAAGGGGAAAAUGACACAAUUCAUCCAAGGGUUGUCUCAGUAACCCAUGCACUCUUCUUUGGAAUGAAGUACAAUUCUAAAAAGGUAUUCCACAACUUAGCUCCCAUGAUUAUUGCCUACAUAUAUCGAGCUUUGGGAAGAUGUCAAGUCAAGAACUAUUUCUUUCAAGGCUGCAACCUUAUAUUGCAAUGGUGGAUGAUGAUGCAUUUGGUGAAAAACCCUAGAACGGUACAACCUGAUAACAAAACAAGAUAGAAUUUGCUAGAAUCGCACGAUAUGUGGUUGUUUUUACACAAGUUCAAAAGGGAAGCAUCUCAUGAAUUUUGGUUUAAGACUCUUGGAGAAUUAAGAGGUGACGAUGUGCAAUGGUUCAUUAACUAUCUUUGUUUAAGGAAAUACACUAUUCGAGGGGGUGAGUGAUCUUUUCUAGUGAUUCCAGGUCUCAGGAGAACCCGUCCCUACAAUCCUGGUAGAGUUCUUAGGCAAUUCGAGAUCAAGAAGGAGACACCUUAAAUCGAUUCUAUGCUCAGAUUCUUCACCGAGUAUGAUGAAAGCGAGCCCCCACGCAAAGACUACAUGAUAAAUGGAUGGAGAAGAAGAAGGUGGACGGAAGUCUCUUUUCGUAUAGGGUAUGAACCUAAAGUCAGGGACACUUACAAGGAGUGGUUAAAAAAGAGCCUUGUCGGAGCGUUAAUUCCGAGGCCGAACGUUCCCACUCGGGUCGUGGAUAUAGAAUCCGAGCAUCAGAUCCGAAUCCAUAGGCUUCAAGAUGAGUUUUAGAAAAGUGAAAUCGCACACCAAAAGAUGCAUGUAGAAGAUACUUUAACAAUACGCAUGUUGAGGAAAGAGUUGAAAAGAUCUAGGCAAGAGGCUAAUGAUGCUAGGCAGUGUUUAAUCAAUUUGGAUGAUAGCAUGGUCUCCCAACUCGAUAGUAUAGAAAAAUGACUUAUGACAGCAAGGCACAGUUAUGCGAGAGUCAUCUGAUCAUCAAUAGGUAUCAAAUAGCACAAGAGGUGAACAAGGUAAAGAAGGCAAAGACAGACGAAGGAGCCUCCGGUAGCUAGUUUUUCUAUUUUCACUGCGUGGGAACUUAUCUUCUUUCAUGUUAUUUCCUUAUCUUCUUUCAUGUUAUUUCCCUUUUUCCCUAAAGAUUGUAUCCCUCUUUUGUUAUUUUUAGUAGGCAUUUAUGCCCUUUUCGUGUCUAUAUAAGUUGGGGGAUAAUGGAUUGACUUUAAGGAAGCAUAUAUUUUCUUCAAAAUCGUUAGGCUUGAACCCUUGGCUCAAAAAGGGUCACCCCGGUUAGGAUAUGCAUUAUUAUAAUGUUUUGUGUAAUAUAAUUAUCUUAUGUGCUUAUGUGUGUGUUUUUUGGAUCAAAGGCAAGUUUAUCCGCUAUGCUCCUAUGGAUGAAUUUGGCUAUGACUCAAACAACUCUACGUGGUUAUUUCUUAUCGAAUAUUUUGCAUUACUUAUCACAUACAGAAACUAACACAUCUGCCUUUGAGUUGUUUUACUUUACAGAUAAUAGAAAACUACUCCAUGUUCAAAUAAGCUGGCAGAACAUCCCUACUUCACCCAGUCAAAAGCGCAUAAAAUCCCAUCCUCUGAUCAUCAUUCAAUAGUGACUGGAAAUGACGAAGAAAACACAUUGACCAUCAGGGACAGUGUAAUAGCAGAACAUUGACCAUCAGGGACAGUGUAAUAGCAGAACAGAGUGAGAUAAUUACGGAGCUUGCAAGAAAGUUAGAAAUGCUUCAGGAGGAAAUAAAUCGUACUCGAGAUUUGGCUAACCUAGCCAUCACUGUCAAUGCUCUCACUCCAGGAGGACACGAUACUCCACUCCAAAUUCCUUCCCUCAGUACGCCUAUUCUUGGGAAUCAGCUAAAUAACGCAUCAUCCAUCUCUUCUCCUCAAAUUGUCCAAAACACCAAUCACGAAAAUAACUCAGAUGUCUACCAUCCACGAAAUCCAUCUCUAACCCCACAAAACCUAUCUCUGAAUCUAUUCCCAAAUCCCCAAAACCCAUUUGCAAAUCAAUAAAAUUUGUUCCCAAAUCCGCAAGAUUCACUCCUAAAUCCACAAAAUCCACCACUAAAUCUUCCAUCGAAUCUAUCCCCGAAUCCACCAAAUUCGUUUCCAAAUUCGCAAAAUCCUUCUCAGAUGCCACCAAACUACUCUCAAAUUCCACAAAACCUUUCUAAUUUUCAAAAUGUCAUCCCCACAUACCAACCAACUUCCUUUCAUCUGCAAAAUCAAGCCUCCCUUCUAAAUCCUCCUCAUGCCAUCAUAUCCUCUGACAUCUAUAAUCCCUUUACUAAUCCCGAGAUGGACCAUUACGAGAAGAAGGAGAAAGAGUGGAGGACCAAGCUUGAAAUGAAGUUGCUAGCUAUGAAUGAAGAGAUCACGAGGAUAAAAAAUCACAUGGAGCAAGGGACCACGACGGUUUAAGGUACGAUAGUUUAUGUGUUUACCCUGGAGUAGAUCUACCAGAAGGGUAUAACGACCCUAAAUUUGAAUGUUCAAUGGCACCGAAAAUCCAAUGACCCAUCUGAGAAGGUAUUGUCAUCAAAUAGUGGGGGUAGGGAAAAAUAAAGCAUUAUUGAUGCGUUUGUUCAGCUGGAGUUUAAGUGGCAAAGACUUGGAAUGGUUCAUGUCUCAGGAACUGAAAAAAUGGACUGGUUGGAGAGCAUUGGCCGAGGGUUUUCUUGACAGGUUCGUAUUUAACAUUGAGAUAGUCCCUGAUCGAUACUCACUAUAUCGGAUCAAACAGAAGAAUAAUAAGUGUUUUCAAGACUACGCCUUUCGUUGGAGAAAAGAAGUUGCUAAAGUACAACCUCCUAUGUUGAGGAAGAAAUGGUAUUGGUUUUCUCUCUCGCCCCGGAAGGAUAAUUUUAUACCAGGAUGGUAUCCGUGGUCCGAGAAACUUUCGCAGAUUUAGUAAAGAUUGGGGAAUCGUUAGAGGAAGGUAUCCAAACAGGAAAAAUUGCCAAAACCCCAACAUCAUCUGAAUCUUCUGUAUUCUCAAAGAAGAAAAGAGAGGAUGCGACUGCAGUCUCUACUAAUUCCAUUGAUAAGUUAAAGAGGAAAUUCAAACCUAAGAAUGUUUUUUUCUCAUCAUCGUCACUAAGUUUUCAGCCUGUAUUCUACACUCAACCCCAAUGUCAAGCUUUAAUUCCAAAUAUUUUACCCCAGUGCCAAGUUCCACAGCUAAAUUAUCAGCCUCAUACUCAAGCUACUCUUCCAAAUGACCAAAUAGAUGUCCAAAUGUCUCCAAACUAUCAUUAAGUACCUCCUUCUAAUAAUCGAAAUCAGUAUAACCACCCACGUGUAAACCUUGAAAAGAAGCCUCCUAGAAAAUUCACUCCAUUAGCUGAAAGUCGUACCCAGCUUUUCGAAAGAUUGAUGAAAGUUGGUUAUUUGCAACCGAUCCAGCCAAAGACUAUCAAUCUCAACUCCCAAUUUUAUCAAGCCGAUCAAAAUUAUGCCUAUCAUUCAGGAGUAGCGGGCCACAUUACCGAGGAUUGUAUUAACUUAAAACAUAAGAUCCAAGAUUUGAUCGAUCAGAAGGUCAUCACGCUUCAAUCGCCGACACCAAAUAUUAUUAACAGUAAUCCAUUACCUAACCAUGGGGGACCUAUGGUUAACAUGAUUGAAAUAAAGGGUGAAUGGGCAUCUAGCAAGACCAUUAUUAAGGUAAAUUCAGAAGGACUCAAAAGAACAGAAAAGGUGGAGAAGAUAGAGAAAGUUGUGGCCACCUUAAGUAAGGAUUUGGAAGGAAUUAUUAAGCCUGUUAUGGUCCCAGAAAAAGCAUUUAAUCCUACAAUAGAUUAUCAACCAAUAAAGGAAGAUGAGAUCGAAGAUAAUUCAAAGGAUAGUCUGUUUAUGCCCUUGCCGCUCUUGUACCAAUCAUUUCUCAUACAUGAGAUGUCAAAUGAUGAUGGUCUUAGGGAUGGGAUAGGAGAUCUGUUUGAAGGAUGCAAUCAUAUACCAGAUGAUUUCCCAAAGUCCGGUGGGGUGAAAAAGAUUGCACUAGGGGAGGCCUUGCAAAACUGGACCUCCACUCCACUUAUAACCCAUCACCCAUCGUGGUAGAUGAAAGGGCAAUUACUAAUAGUUUUUAAAAUUGGUGAUGAUCUAGAGGAGGCCCCGUGAUCCACCCUUUUAUGUCUCAAAUUUUUAUUUCAUGUUUUACAACUUUCAAAAAGGCAUGGGCCCACAUUUGUGUGGGUCAUGAGCUAUAGUUUUAUUUAUUUUCCAAAAGGCCUCCCUUUAUUUAAGAAGUUAUUUUUUAAAAAUAUGAUUAUCUAGCAUGGUUUAUUUUGCUAGCAAUAAGUUAAAAACCUGCCAAUGUCAUGUCAUGUCAAGGGUUAGACGAACAAAGCAAAGAAAAUAAUGAUGAACAGAAAAAGGUGAUGAGGAAUAAUUAGUUAAAGGUAUAGAAGAAUGUGAAAAUCAAAAGAAGCCCAACCUGGAGAAGCCCUAAUCCUACCGGAGAUGGAUGGUUAAGAGUGGACUAAACCAAUCAAUUCUGAUGCACUAAAGAGAAUUGUGCUUGAAAGAUGUUAUAAUUUUUGUGUUUCCUUAGUUUACUUGUAAUCGCCUUUGUAAUAAUGUUGUUUUCUAGUGUGUAAUUGCCUAGAACCCCUUUCAUUUUAUGUACGAACUACAUUUGACUGGAAUUCCCAACAAAGGGAUACGUAGGCGGCCUAUGUCGGCUUCGAUCAACCCCUUACAAGAAUUUAUCCUUUUUUUUAUGUAUGAACUACGUGAUGACCUGAAUUCCCAGCAAAAGGGGUACGUAGGCAGCCUAUGUCUUCUUCGGUCAACCCAUUAGAUUUUUCUAUAUAUCCUUAGCAUAGUCCUGAACUACGUUUGACCUGAUUCCUGCUUCAACGGAAUAUGUAGGCGCAACCCUAGGAAAUGGAAACUGGGGCAGAAUUUUUGAGAAGGAAUCUUAAAAAUUCACAAGAGAGGAUCAACGUCCAUCAAAGAGAAUGAAGAUCAACAAAGACUUCAGAUCCACUCGAGAUGAGAUCAUCUUAGACUACUUUAAACUGGGGCAGAAAUUUGGAGGGAGGCCUUAAAAUUUUCACGAAGUACUGGAAUAUAUUUCAAAUUCCCCGACACCAGAGGUUAAAGCCAAGAUUUUGAAGCCACCAACUGCGACAAAGUCUAGGUAGAAUCAAUUUCUGGCUAUGACAGAACUAUUUGAAGAACCCUCCGACAAUGAUCAUGAGUUCUGGAAGUCAUCUGUCGGAUAUAGUCAAAGCCACGAGGAAGACGUUCGUUUAGAGAGUACACGACAUGGCUGACAGAGAUUUUCUAAAGCUUUUACAGAUACUUUCAAAACUAUUUGCUAAAAAAUAAGACUACUUUUGAAAAACAAAUCCUUACAAAUCUUUUACUUAGUGAUUACCUAGGCGGCUAUAGGAGCAGGGACCCAAGGUGGAGGUACCAAUGUAACCGGGCACCUGAAAGAUGGCAAGGAGAAAAUCAAGGAUCGAAGAAGGUUGACACUGAGUAGUUUUAUUCAAACUAAUCAUUUCUCUGUGGAUGCAGGGAUCGAUACACAAAAAUGAGCAUUUCUUUCAAAAAAUCCCCAAGCAAGUCGGGAGCCAUACCAGAGCAUAUAGUGCUUAGGAACGGUACUUUUGGUAACCUAAAAGCGGGCUCAACACCCAUUUAUCGAUGACCUUUUGAAUUUUCCAUCUCAUUUCUUGAAAUCAUGGAAGACAAACAAAGACGUCUUCUUUUCUUUACAAACAUUGUAUUUAGAAUUUUUCUCAAAAAAUGGUCGCUAGCAAAAAUGACUUUGUUUAUACUAAUUGUCUAUCUUGAGUACAGGUACAUGUAGAAAGCAAGACGCAGACAAACGAAAUCAGAUAAAACUAUUUUCAAAUCUCCAAGAUGGCCAUUCAUAUCAUUGCCAAGAGGGUCAUUGCAUAUCAUUGCCAAGAGAGCCAUUGCAUAUAAUUGCUAAGAGGGCAAUUUCAUAUCAUUACUAAGAAUGCCAUUUCAUAUUAUUGUCAAGAGGGUCAUUUAUAUUAUUUUCAAGAGGGUCAUUUCAUAUCAUUUUCGAGAGGGUUAUUUUAUAUCAUUGCCAAGAAGGCCAUUUCAUAUCAUUGCCAAGAAGGCCAUUUCAUAUCAUUGCCAAGAGGGCCAUUACAUAUCAUUGCCAAGAGAGCCAUUUCAUAUUAUUUCCAAGAGGGUCAUUUCAUAUUAUUGCCAAGAGGGCCAUUCAUAUCAUUGCCAAGAGGGCGAUUGCAUAUCAUUGCCAAGAGGGUCAUUUCAUAUAAUUGCCAAGAGGGUCAUUUCAUAUCAUUGCCAAGAGAGCCAUUGCCAAGAGGGCUAUUCAUAUCAUUGCCAAGAGGGCCAUUCAUAUCAUUGCCGAGAGGGCCAUUCAUAUUAUUUCCAAGAGGGCCAUUCAAUAUCUGUUGACACGUAAGACAUAAAAUGCUAGCGUCGAGGAUAUCAUCAGUAUUUUAUAUCUGUUGACAUGCAAGACAUAAAUGCUGGCGUCGAGGAUAUCAUCAUUAUUUAAUAUCUGUAAACACGCUAGAAAUAAACACUGGAGUCAAGGAUAUCUCAUCUUUUAUGAAUCAGCAUCUGAAUGUAUUGAGAGAACAUGAUUUGAAAGGACACCUUUAAGUCGCUAUCUGAAGACGAGCGAUUUACAGGAUUUCCUAGAAAUUGAUAAUUUGAGGGUCAUUUAUAAGUCAUAUUAUUUGAAAUAGGAUAGUGUGUAAGAUCACCUAUGAAUUGAUAGCUUGUAGGUUAUCCGUAAGCCACAAUAACAUCCUAAUCGGAUAGUGUGCAAGGUCACCCAAAAAUCUAUAGUUCAAAGGUUAUCCGUAAGUCGCAACUAAAUCCUUACCGGAGAAUAUGCAAGAGUAUCAAAUUGAUAAUGUCCAAGGGUUAUCUAUAAGCUGUGUCAUAUCCAAGAUCGAUUAUGUGCAGGAUUACCCAAAGACUUGCAAUUUGAGACAUAUCUGUAAGUCAUAUUAUAUCCAAGGUCGGAUGAUGUGCAGGAAUACCAGAGAGCUAAUGAUUGGAGGGAUAUCUGUAAGUCAUCUCUUAUCCAAGGUCGGAUAAUAUGCAGGAUUACCUAAAGGCUAGCAAUUCAAAGGAUAUCUGUAAGUCACCUUGUAUCCAACAUCAAAUAAUAUGCAAGAUUAUCCAAAGAUGGUCAAUUCAAGGGAAAGCUAUAAGUCGUAUCGAUACAAAGAUGCGCAAGACUUACCCAAGAUCAUAGGAAAAGAAUUAUUGUCAAUGAUCGAAAAGGUUAUCAUUACACAUGUGACAAGCAUUACAGGUAACCAAAGGGGUUGGCGGAUCAGCAUAAGACUAAACGGUUGCAGGGACCGUUCUGCAUAAAGGGUCAUUGGUGUCCAAAAGGUCACUCCACUUUGAAGACAUAUUCAUUCGAACAAAUGAGUUAGUUAUGCAACAACCAAAAGGGUGUUACUACUGUUAUCAUAAGUUAUUUCAUUCCAAAUAGGUACAUGAAAAGAUGACUCCGCUUUUCAGGCAAUAACCUAUAUGAAAAUAUGGUAAAAUACUAUACACUUCUUUCGUGAAUUAUGCUUAUGACUAAGGAUUUUGUUUGAGAUAUUGUCGAGAGAAUCCAAGAGGAUAAAAAUCUCAAAUCAAAACCAUAGGUGCGAAUGACUUCAGAUAGAAUACAGCACAAUAUGAAACUCUUUCUCAGCAGCAAAAUGGGACAUAGUCUAGAGAGGGAUGUCAAACUCUUUACACGCGAGCUAAAGGAUGAUCACCACCACCAUAUAACCACACCCCUAUUAGAAGGCAUGUGGGUAUUCUGGGAUAUUCUUGUUUCAACUUCACCUUCAGGAUAUUUCUAAACUUACAUCGAGGGUAGUCUUCCCUUCCUUCAAAUCCGGGUGAUAACAUAUCUAGAGUUUUGGAAAUUAUGUCCAGGUAAGUUCUUUUCUAUGGAUGUGAAAGAUUCCACAUUCAUGGUUAAUAGGUUACAAUCCUCUUUUCCAUAACUUAAUCAUUAACUUGUCACUCAUCCCGAGCUGAAGAUCGUUUAAAAUAAAAGACUAUUUUUUCUACCUAUCGAGUCGAACUACAAACAAUCUGAUUCCCUAAAAUCUUGGGGAUAUGUAGGCCAAGAUCUAUGUAGAAAACUCGACUGCAUUCCAACCUCCUCCAAAUCCCUUUAUUCUCCAGCUUCUCGGUUUAACUAAAAACUCUAAAAUCGUGAUAGUUGGUGAAUUUUCUUGAAAAUCAUGCUUAAAAUCAAGCUUUAUGAACUACAAAUGGCCUGAAUUCUCAUGAAACUUGAGAUAUGUAGGAAACCUGAUAUCGAGGUUCGGCCAUAGCUCCAUGAAACUCGUGCGGAAAAUCAGCCUCUUUCAAAUUCGAAUUUGUGGUCGGACAAAAAUUAGGAAUGUCAACCUCCCUUUGCCCAGAGUUACUUGCAUCCACCCUAUCCAAAGGGAGGAGGCAGUUGUUGACACCUAUUUUUUUCCCUCCACGGCUAAAUUUGAUAUUGAGUUUCUUCGACUACAAAUAUAAUUACAAUAUUUAUUUUAUCCGAAUAAAGGAUUUUUAAAGUAUUUACUUGGAUAAAUUUUUCUCUCAAAAAUAAUUUAUUUGGAUAAAUGUUUGUUUAAUUUUACCAAAUCAAGAAGCUCAAGAUUAAAUAAGGCACUAAUUUGUAUUGAAUUUUGAUUUGAUUUAGUCAAUUUAUUAAAUUUGACUCUAAUUAAAAUCAAAUUAGCCCCAAUUGUGAUGCAAUUGACCAAUUGGUAUUCAAAUUGGCUAGAAUUUAAAGUUAAUUGCCUAAAUUGUAAUCCAAAAUCCUAACCCUAAUCCUCAAAACACUCCAUCCCAAUUUAAACCAAUAACUUGCCCAGGCCCAUCUAUUCACCAAUAAUUAACCCAUACAAUUUAAAAUACAACAGUCCUUUCCUUCUUUUUAAAAGAUUCGAUCCAGAAGCCCAAAAUUCCUUUAUCCGGCCCAAUCUCCCUUAUUUCUCCCCCCUUCUCCUCCAAAGCAGCAAAGCUGCGUAUAAAUAAGAAUAAAUUCUCAACCAGCCACAACAUCGGCAACAACCCAUACCCAAUCCGAACUUCACAAAUCCAUGAAACUUUAACUCGAUAAUCUUGCAAAACACACCUCAUUUCCCUUCCUCUCUUCGAUUGUACUCCUCACGUGAUUGGCAUACAGUUUUUGUACCAUGGGAAGUCCAGGAUUCCUUUAGAAAAUGUGUAGGUAUCCGUUCCAAUGGCUAGAUGCCGAGAAUUUUGGGUUGAAUGGUACAAAAUCAUACAUACUUGCCCGAUUCUCAUUGGUGGGUGAGAGAAAUUUCAUCCCUUAAUCUCUAUUGGUUGGCCUAUUUUGGAUUUCAUGAAGAAAAUCCAAAAUCUGCACAUUAGUGGAUGAGGGAUCUAAGUUGUAGAAGAAAUUCAAAUUCCAAAUUUUUUCUUCCUAAAAUACCCAAAUACUAUUUUCUAUAUAAGAGGCGAUGGGACACUGUUUAGGGGGAUUGUAGAUUCUAGAGUUGAAAAUUAGGGUUGGAAUAAUUUUCGGGAAAAAGGAGAAAAUCCGGGUAGCUAAGAGUUCUUUCUCAUGGUAAAAAUUUCUCUUUUCUUUCUUCUUUUGAAAGUGAGUUCAAAAUUUUGGGUCUGAAAAGAGGGAAAAAAUUCUCAAAAAGGCAGAAACACAAGGAAAUUUCGGUUUAGAAAAACUGAGAGAGAAGGAAGAAAGGAAAAAAAAGAAAUUUUUGGAGAAAAAUUAAGUCUUUAUUAGAAAUCCUGUUCUUGUUUUGAAAGUUCGUCAG